GUGCCUACGGGAGGCAGCAGUGGGGAAUAUUGCACAAUGGGGGAAACCCUGAUGCAGCGACGCCGCGUGAGCGAUGAAGUAUUUCGGUAUGUAAAGCUCUAUCAGCAGGGAAGAAAAUGACGGUACCUGACUAAGAAGCCCCGGCUAACUACGUGCCAGCAGCCGCGGUAAUACGUAGGGGGCAAGCGUUAUCCGGAUUUACUGGGUGUAAAGGGAGCGUAGACGGUCCUGCAAGCCAGAUGUGAAAGCCCGGGGCCCAACCCCGGGACUGCUCUUGGAACUGCGUGGCUGGUGUGCAGGAGGGG
rnacentral:rRNA from 1 species